UACGGGGGGGCAAGCGUUGUUCGGAAUUACUGGGCGUAAAGGGAGCGUAGGCGGCGCGGUAAGUCGGAUGUGAAAUCCCGGGGCUCAACCCCGGAACUGCAUCUGAUACUGCCGUGCUAGGGUAAUGGAGGGGUAGCUGGAAUUCUCGGUGUAGCAGUGAAAUGCGUAGAUAUCGAGAGGAACACUCGUGGCGAAAGCGAGCUACUGGACAUUUACUGACGCUGAGGCGCGAAGGCUAGGGGAGCGAAAGGG
rnacentral:rRNA from 1 species